UAUGGAGCUUCAAUUAACUAACCCAUAAUAACCAAUUAACUUACCAACUAGGUCUAACAUAACUUUAUUACUGGGUUAGCAAUUUAGGUUGGGGUGACCUCGGAGAAUAAAACAACCUCCGAGUGAUUUAAUCACAGACAAACCAGUCGAAGCGUUCUAUCAUUCAUUGAUCCAAUAAUUUGAUCAACGGAACAAGUUACCCUA
rnacentral:rRNA from 1 species